AGGGUCACCAAUGAGGUAGAUAAUAGUUCAGCACUGCUCUCUGGUUGUGGUAGGAUGAUUCAGUUGCCUGAUAACAACUGAAACGAAACUGUCCCUGGAGCUGUGCAUUUUCACAUCUACAUCUUUUGCCCGAUAGGAGAGGAUAGAAGAGGGAGUGGCCAGGUGAGACUCAUCCUUGAUUAUGCUGCUAGCCUUGCCGAGGCAGCGUGAAGUGUGGAUGCAGUCAAU